rnacentral:rRNA from 1 species
GUCUUUUUGAUUAUAAUUUAAGGUUUAAUCUGCUCAGUGAAUAUUUAAAUUGCCGCAGUAUUUUGACUGUGCAAAGGUAGCAUAAUAAUUAGUUUUUUUAUUGGAAGCUGGAAUGAAUGAUUGGACAAGAGAAUUACUGACACUUUAUUAUUUUUGUUUAAUUUUACUUUUAAGUUAAAAGGCUUAGAUAUAAUUAAAAGACGAGAAGACCCUACAGAGUUUAAUUUAUAUUAUUUGAAUUUUUAUUGGAAUUUAAAAGAUUUAUUUGUAUAUAAAUUUAGUUGGGGUGACUAAAAGAUUUAUUUAACUCUUUAAAUUAAAAUCAGUUAUUUUUGAAUAUAAAAUUUAUAUUUUUAAAUUUAAAAUUAAUUACCUUAGGGAUAACAGCGUAAUUUUUUUUAAAAGUUCAUAUUAAAAUAAAAGAUUGCGACCUCGAUGUUGGAUUAAAAUUUAUUUUAGGUGUAGAAGCUUAAAUAUUGAGUCUGUUCGACUUUUAAAAUUUU